UACGUAGGGUGCGAGCGUUGUCCGGAAUUAUUGGGCGUAAAGGGCUCGUAGGCGGUUUGUCGCGUCGGGAGUGAAAUCCUGCGGCUCAACUGCGGGUCUGCAGUCGAUACGGGCAGGCUAGAGUUCGGUAGGGGAGACUGGAAUCCUGGUGUAGCGGUGUAAAUGCGCAGAUAUCAGGAGGAACACCAGUGGCGAAGGCGGGUCUCUGGGCCGAUACUGACGCUGAGGAGCGAAAGCGUGGGGAGCGAACAGG
rnacentral:rRNA from 1 species